ensembl:lincRNA linc-144 ncRNA
UCACGAGACGGCAUUGCUCUCGGUAUUUCGUGUCUUUUGAUUUAUUUGUGUCUCAUUGGGAUGACAUUUGUUGUAAUUUUAGUUGGUCGCGGGUAUGUGAAAGCCCCCACGAAGAUAAAACCUCACGUUUCCACAUCACACCUUCUUGCUCCAACCAGUAUAUUAUUUUGCAUGUUCAUUUUUGUUUUUUUAUUAAUAUUUUUUGUAAUUAUUCACCUUUCUUUAGCAUUAAAUGCUGCACAUGUAGAAGUGUCGAAAAUAGAUGAAACACUCGAGUAUUUUACUUAAUAUUCAGUUAUUAAGCUAAUUUUGUGCUCGCAUAACUUAGAGGGUAGAUGUUUAAUGUUCCAAGCUUCACUAGAGCAACUCAGAAAUUGAGGUUACUCUAAAUUAAUAACUAAUUAAUGAAAGAUGAUAUUGAAAACUUGCACGAAAAUUUUUAAAAUUUCAACGAACUGUUUGGCUCUGUCAUUUGAGCAUAUUGAUUAGGAAUUCUUAGCUUAAGGACAACUUUAUAAGUGAAAAGCACAGGUUUUCAAAUUGACUUCACAAAAAAUACUCGCGUUGUCAGCUCGGUAUCACAAAAGCGGAGAAAUUGAGUUACCAUUUUGCAAAAUUUUGAAAAAUUACUCAAAAUUUUGGCAGAAAUCAAGACCUGUCACACAGUUUCAAAAGCUACUUUUAUUCUAAUUUCGAGUGUGUUCAAGUUUGUAAAAUGACUUUUUAUCUACAAGCACCCAAAAAAGGACAAAAAACCUUAAUAGUAAAAAUGAAGAAAAACGAUGCACUGAAGAAGUUGUAGAACAAUAUUUUAGUAGGAUUUUUACCAUCUAGUUUUUAUGUGACAAAUACUGUUUUAAAUGGAUAGUCUCAUAAGGUUUUACAAAUUGAAGUUAAAACCAUUAUUCAUUCCAAAUUGCUUUAGUUUCUAUAUAAUAAAAGUAAAUAACUGUAUUUGAAAUUUGGUUAGCUGUAUUAACUUGAAUUAAUGAAUUUUUUGCAACGUCUU